rnacentral:lncRNA from 1 species
AGAUUCUGAGGAGAGACAGAGACAGAGAGAAAGGAGCAGCGGAUUCCUGCAAACUUCAGCAUUGUGUGACUAGGAAGAUGCUGACCUGGCUUGCAAUUUCUUGGAGGAAACAGGGGUUGGAAAGAUGGCACAGAGAUUACAAGAGCUGGCUGCUUUUCCAGAGGACCCACCCAGUGGCUCACAACCGUUCACUUCCAGAGGGACGGGCAUCCUCUUCUGACCUCUGAGGACAUUGUACAUGCAUGGUGCAUAGAUUUACAUGCAAGCAAACGCCUGUACACGUAAAAUAAGUAAUAAAAGUCUUUAACACAUCU